AGCUAUUUGUCUGAAUUUAAGUAUAUAUUUUGAAAAUAUAGUAUAUGGGUUGACUCCCUUAUUAGCUU
rnacentral:tRNA from 1 species